GUUAGGUCACGCCCACCUCCUAUUACAUGCAAAAGGAAGGAUGUUCCAGCCAGGAGGAACAGGAAGUUUUGACUGGCUGGACCAAACAUUCCCUCACAUGUCUUCUCUAGCAUUACAAGGAACGUUGUACUUGACCUCUUCUCAUGGAUCACAUCCCACAGUUCAGGUGAGUAAGGAGCUUUUUACUGCCCCUCAAGCACAACCAACCAUCCUUCACACACAAACGGGAUGCCAACAAGAACCACCAGGUGAAACGGGAGGUACUGCGCUCUUUUAAGAAGUGACUUCCUCCAUCCCUUAAGCCAACCUUCUGAGUGCCAAAGGUAAAGGUGGUUAGAACAAUGAAUGUGGUGCUUAUUUUGCCUAGUAGGUGACAUUCCACCCACAUUAAAAGAGGCAUUGUGAAGGUUUAAGGACUCGUUCCAGCCAGGUAAAAGCCCUGCAACAGGGACGAUGAUGGGUGUGGCUUGGGGAAAGGGACGUGGUGCAGGGAUAAUCCCAAGAGCCCAAUCAGAGGGAUCGAGAGGGCCCAUUUGACCACCACUGACCUCAACCAUCUACAUUCAAAUCCAGUUGCACAAUGUUAACAAUUUUCACCUUUUUGGAUUGUUGGGACUCCAAGCUCCAAAUCCUCCACUGAGGACCCCUAAUAAUGAACCCUGAGCCUGGAUGGUGGUGGAUUGAUUGGAGACCCCCUUGUGGUUUGGUGAGGAGGGAAGUGCUUCUCCCCCACGCCCGACCGACACAAUGGCCCCUCUGCAGCAGCCCUUGCCAUUCUUCAGGCAUCAGCUCCUUUUGCUGUGUGUGCCACAGGCGCUUCCAAAGGAUUGUUGCCCUAGAAACUUGGUUUCAGCCUCCUGCUAUAUAUCAACAAGCUUGUUUUAGCAGUCCCUUGGCUGAAUUACAGUUACACAGUUUGGCGCUUCUUUCAAAUUUCCUCCCAUCACUUGGGCCAAAGAAAGGAAUUUUUUCCCUCCUUUAGAAAUGAAUUGGCUUAAUUAGUAAGUAGAUUAAUGGCAAUGGCUGGUGAGUUGGUUUCCAGCAGAGUUUCACCAGAGAGGGUUAAUCGGAGUCAGGGCUGGAAUCUUUCCCAGAACUGGCUGCCAGCCAUUUUUCCACCAACCAAUCAACCCCAGAAAACAAACGCUCUAGUCGCAAUACCUACCCGAGAAAUAGAGCUGGGGGGUUUUUGCUUUGAGAGACACCAGCAGCAAAAGCUGCCCAAAUAAGCGACUUUGCCUAAUGUUAUUCCAAGGGAAGGGGGGGGGGGGACUCCAGACCAAAUGGGUUACAGUCUGAGAAAUGGAUAGCUAGAGGGUUGGACGCGGAAAUGAACGCAAACCUCAGCUCGUUUGCAGCCUAGGGCAGGUCACUCUUUCUCCGUCGUCUUCCUCCUUUGUAAAAUGUGGAUAGGGAUUGCAUGCGGUUGUGAGUACUGAUAGCAUCAAGAGUCCGAAGCCUUGAAUUGUACUUAGGGCGUGCAUAACCGCGUCCUUCUAAGAUAAAACCUCGUCCUUUGAUAAGUCCCACCGACUUUAACUAAGCGCCGGGACUGAUUCACACAUGCAUGUACACGUCCCUCAGCACCGUAUGAAUCAAUGUGGGUAUUUGCGUGAACGCCCUCUGUUGGAAAGCAUUGCGUUUGAAGCGGUGUCAGCUGAUAAGAGCGAGCUCUUAGGCGUGUUGACUUUUUGUGACCGCUGUUCCACACGUGCAAGUAAUCCCCUGAAGUCAUGUAUACACUUGACCUUACUUUCAAGGCAUCCCUACUUAGCCCAUUUCCUCAAGAGAAGGCUUGGAAACUGCGUCCAAAGUGUGAGAGUCUACAGAUGGACGCAGCCACUUACCCACGCGAUCCCUUUGCUGUAGGCUUUUAGCAAGGCUUUUGAGUUUCGCUGGUACAUGGUUAGAGAAAUCAAUAUGUUGCAUCCAGCUAACCUACACUAAAAACAAAUCACUCUGAGAAAUGAACUAUAAAAUGAAGCACGAUUCUUCCUUGUUAAAACCACACACCAAAAUAUGGAUUGUUAAACUGGAUCACAUAUUUCCAUUUCCCCCUAAAUAUGGAACCACCACCACAAAACUCCUUAAAAUUGAAGAGUGCACAAUGAGAAUAGGCAACAUUCACUCUUAUUUUUCCCAUACUGAUAAAAAUGCAUUCAUAAUUUAACUGGCAGCUGCAAAAAAAAAAAGUCUUGCAAAAAGAAAAAGAAAAAACCCUGCUGAGAAAUGCAUAUAAUAGGAAAAACAGGUCGCCUGGACAGCAGUGUAAUUAAUGCCAGAAAAGGCCAAGCCGGUUUCAUAGAUUCUCUUUUGAGGAUAUCAAGACGAGACCCAGUGAAAAAUGACGCAUGCUUUAGCAUUUCAGAAAGCUGGCAACUGGCAGAGCUUCUCUUUCCUUCCCCCCUUCCCCACUCCUUUUUCUCCUCUUUAACUUUCUGCCUCCGAACAAAGGGGUCGGCAGAACUAGCUAGGUUGUAAUGAGUUCUGUGUCCCUAGCCUAUUAAGGGCAUCAUGGAAACAUAUUGUAUCGAAAUAGUUUGGAGGAGAAUACUGGGGAUGAAAGAGAAUGGGUGCUUUGAUCAGCUCCCUGGGGUCCUGAGUGCGCACAGACCGGCUUGCAAGGUCUUAUUCAGCUCCAGCGAGACACACUUACAAGACCAUUCAAUGUGAUUUGCAUAUCUGUAAUUUAUCACAUUGGGUCCCCCGAACAUUUUUUUUUUUUUGCAAGGUAAAUAAAAGUUGGGUUGAAUAACAAAUAUCAAUCAUCUCAGAGAGAGAAGGGAGGGAGAGAGGGAGAAGGAACUGUCUGCGCAAUCCACACUAACGCUGAAGAAGUCUGCAAAGAGAGGCAAAGAAAACGUUUAGCCCAGCAAAGAGAAGUUCAAAGAGUCCGUUAGACAACAGGUUCAAGGCUAGUAAAAAAAAAAAAAUGAAGCUUUUGGCAACAGUUGCCAUCCAGCGCUGUCCUGCCACUAACAAAGCUUUUGGGAACCGAACUCGUAAAAAGAAAUCGCCCCCAGGCACCUAGGAGGGAAGGCGAUGCUUGUGCCUUGCCCUGCAAAGCGAAAGAUAAAACAUUGGCACCUUGCUUUAGGGGGAGAAAGUGUCUUGGGACACUCAGAGAACGCCCUUCGCCUCUUUCCAUCUUCCUUAAUUUCAGACGUCCCCUCUUAACUGGUUGUAAACUUUUACUGGAGACCGAGAGGGGAGCAUUUCUUUUUUUAAUCGCUCUUCCCUCCCCCCCAGCCCAUAAGAGACAUCAGUAAGAAAAGGCUUUUGGAGGGCAAGAGGAUGAGAUUCCUCUCCAAAACAAGAGGCAAGUUAACAGGCUGGCAUUGUUCGGCGCUCUCACAAACUUCAGCGCAACAGCAAAUAAGAAUCUUCAACUUGACCUUGGAAAAGGGCUCCGCGCCUCCAGCUAAUCUAUCAAGCCACCCCCAGUGACAAUGAUGUAUUUCCAAGUAUUGUCAGAUCAUGAAAAGAUUGAUAAAUUCGCCGCUGCACACCCAGACGGAGCGCUCCUCUUUGCAAGAAGGAGGCACGCUGGAAAAAGUGCGCCUCCUCGUCCGCAGGUCUUGGGGAGGGAAAGGGGCGAGGGGGGAGCAAGAGCCGAGAGGCGCUCAAGGGAAGAGAAACGAGCUCCCUUGAAAGCAGAGCGGUCAUAUUUCUUGGAGGAGCACGAGAAAGCUGGAGACAAUCCUUCUCAUAUUAAACGCAAUAUUUCUUGGCUUUGGCGAGGAACAAAAGUCAUAGCAAGACGUCUUUGUGACUAAUUCAGUCAAAGGGCCGGCUCUGGUUCCCCCUGCAGAAAGGUCACUGUCGUUGUGUAUGGUCCACCAAGGGGGGGAUUUCACAGGGAAAACGGAGCCAGCUGUCCCUGUCACACUCUCCGCACUGGGGGAGCCCACACUGUGCAUGGUUGUUAACUUCAUUCUACACACCUGCAAAAUCUACCCAUUUCCAAGACUUUUCAAGGGGCUUUUUUCUUCUUCUUUGGAACUCCCCUUUUUUUGCCUUCUCCACUUUUGACAACAACUAUUCAAGUUUUUCUUGAAAGCGCUGGGAGGGAAGGAAGAAGGGGGGCGCUUUCUCAGCUUCGGGUGGGUGCCCAUUGAGCGCCUAGCCAAAGGAGCUGCCUUCCCACAAAGCGAAGUUUGACAAAGUCCCAAAUAACUUUGCACCGACGUGGAAACGGCCUGUUGCUAACGGAAGUGCCCUUUAGCCAAAGCGCGAGCUGCAAAUCGCGAAGGCUGCUGCCCGGGCAGGCGCUCUCCCGCUUCCCCCCGCGCGCUCCUUGCACUCUCGGCUCUUCGCUUCGCUCCAGCUCUUCGCCAGCGCCACAAACGGCAUCACCUUUCACUCCCUUCUCCCUUCCUCGCUUCUGCACCUCAAAAAAAGAAAAACACUCAGCAACCCUCCAGGGGCUUUUCAGAUUCCGUCGGGGCUGAGAAAGGCUCAAGCUCCCCAGAAGCGAUCGCUUUAAUUGGAAAGGAAUGUAAUGUCCUGCCAGUGGGGCCACUCUCUUUCCCAACUUCGGUCUAGAGCAAAAUGAGGAGCUUGGAAAGAGAAGGAGCCCUGACGGGGUUUCCAGUCAUGGGGAAUGGAGGCUGCUUGGAGUGCCUCCCGCGACCAACCUCUUGCCCCCACAGACUCCGGGUUCUUCCCCCGGCCGCCCGCAUCCUUCCCGCGUCCCCAUUUACCCUCCUCGAAAGCAACGCUUUCGGCAUAGGCCUCGCUAGGCACUGGAGGCCCGUCAAGGCGCCGUUGCGCCGAAGGCGACAAGAGCAACCCACCUGCCUUAAGGAGAGGGGGAAACUGCUCCCCAAAAGGCCAUUCCCCAGAAAAGGGGGGCGGAGGUGUGCCUUCGCCCGGGGCUGGCAAGCCCAGGCUGCCUCAGGGAAGCUUUGCGCGGGACAGCAGCUCGCUGGCAGCGUGACAGGCGUUCCGCGCAACAAGUUCCCUCAGAGCAGGUGCGCGGCAAGGGGAGGGGAAAGGAGCUGGCGGCGCGAUGAGCGAAUGAGCCGGGCGGUUCAGAGAACCCCAACGGGGCUCCGGGGUGCGGGCCGAGGUCAGGGACGAGGCACCCUUUGCCUGGGCGCCUCUGGCCCGCGAGACGAGCGGCCUGGAGGCAGGAGUGGGCGCGGAGCUGGCAGCGAGCGCCAGCGACACAGUUCCUGUCAGGGGAGCCCGGUUCUUCUCCCUCUGACAGGCGCUUGGAGGGCGGGUGGCGGGCCCGAGGCGACGCUCGCCCCUUCGCCUUCCCCUCAGGGUGUCCGCAGCCACCAAGCCGCCUCCUGCUCGCGAGCCCGCGCCUCAGACCGCCUCGCCUUGCUGGGGGUCCCUCUUGGAGACCUCCAUGCGCAACGAGGCCAGGGCAGGCGGACACCUCUUGUUGGAGGUCUCUUUGCCGUCUCCUGGGGCCUCGUGGGCAAAAGGAAGGGGGCUGGCUCUGCGGCAGGGGGUCCUCUGCUCUCUGGGGUGCCGCGAGCGGGCCUCUCGCCGGCUCCCCGGAGCCACAGGCACUGAGGGGAGAAGAGGGGCGCAUGCGCGUCUCCAGCCGGGGACCCUCCCCAGGCGCUCGCUCCACAGUUUGGGGAAAGUUUGGCCAAGCUACCCAGAAAGGCGCCUGGCCCUCGAGCGACGAACGUGAGGCGCCAGAGAGCUGGGCGGAGGCCUCCGGAGGCUCCCCGGCUCCUGCUGGGGGCGACGUGGGGCCGGGGGGGCGCUCGGGGGGGUGAGGAGCGAGGCUUUUAGGAGGCCCACCGAGGCCCCUGCGCACCAAUCUGGCGGCGCGCUCGGCUGAGGAGGCUGCUCUCUUGUGCAGCCGCGCGCGCCUCAUUCGCCGCGCCAGCCACUCAGGCGCCCCCUCCCCCCGCCCCUUUGUUCGCCUUAAAAGUAAUGCUGCGAAUUAAAAGAAAUGACAAUGUUUUCCCCCUGCUCGCAAGUCCCGGAGAAGGGCCCUUGAGCUUGGCAAAAAUCAGGCGAAUCAUUCAGCGUGCCACCCCGCACCUGUGAUCUUGGCAUUGAAAACCCCGCAGACCUAUUCCCUAUUAAACUUAAUUAUUCCCCCCAGGCACACAAUGGUUGAAAUGGAGCAGGUUGGAGUCUGUUUAUUGGUCGUAAAUGUUUUUCUGAAGAUCUUCUGAAUCUCAUUGUUAGCUCGUUGUUUGAGUCUGCCCUCUUUCUUUCAGCCUAGAGUAGCCUUGGACUUUUCAAUUUUCAAUCGUAACAUCUGCUUAAUCGUACGGAUCAAAAUAUGGAGACACAAAACAUAUGUAAUGGUGGAUUUGUUAAAUCCUGGUAAUGAGUUAUUAACAAGGGAAAACAAUAGGCCAGGAUGGUGAGAGCCGUAUGGUAACAGAGUCACUUUAUGCAACGCCUGACGUUCCCCUUCUUGAUAAAUGGAACUAAGGUCUGAACGCCAGGUGAUAGCAAGAAAAUCAAUGUCUUUAGAGGCCAGCACGGAGACUUUUUUUUCUGUGUGAAAAAUUAGGAGACAUAAAAUGUAAUUGGCUGAUCAAGGAGGGGGGGAAAGUAGUGGUCUUAAGUUUAAUUGCCCGUUGAAGGCUGAGCAAAGGCAGACAAAAAAAGGGAAAAAAGAAGCAAGACUCUGGGCCUGUUUGUUUGCUAGCAUCUCAGCUCCCACUGCAAGUGCAUCAUUGAAAAUGUGUUUUAUUAUAACACAUGCCAUGCUUUACAGUUCCCAUAUUGUGUCAAGACAAUGCUUAAUGGUACAUUAAAGACAAGCAAACCAUGCCAACACGCCUUGGAGACAUUGUAAGGACCUCUCUCUCCCUUUGCUUGUUUUAGGCAGCUGCAGCUCAGCACCCAGAAAAACACAAAAAGAACAAGUUUGAAAUACCAGGUGCAUCCGAGGGAAACCCGACAGGGAUUGAUAUGUUAUAGCCC